rnacentral:lncRNA from 10 species
UCAAAGGCUUUCAGAGUAAGGGGAGGACAGGGAGGUGCUCAGUACCCCACCUCACUUUCCAGCCUCCUGUCCUGCCGCUCCCCACCAUACAUCGUCACCGCCCCCCUCCCCUCACUACCCUCUGUCACACCUCUGUGCCUUUGCCCAUGCAGGGCUCUCUGCCUGCCUUCAUUCAGGCUGACACUCAAAUACUUGAGGAGCACCUCCCGAGUGCCAGGCCCUAACGGAGGGGCUGGAGAAAUAGUGGUGAGCAAAACUGUCCCCGUCUCUGCUCAUCUGGCAUCUAGCAGAGAACAGCAACACUAACCUGCGAUGUUUUAGCACCUACUCUGUAGUGGUUUACCACCCCCUUGUGAAACAGGAUAGUGUGUCUGCACGGAAGCAGGGGGCAGAAGCAAACAAGAGUUCCUGUGUGGGGCAUUCCCAACACAAAAGAGAGGUCAUCAAGCCUUGAAUCUGGUGAGACUUGAAGCAUCUGAUUACAAAUGGACUGAGCCUCCAUUUCCUUAUCAGUAAAACAGAAAAAUACAGUAAUUCCUGUCCCUUGGUGAAAAAAAGCACAAAACCGUAUGUGUAAGUCAGAAUACCAGUCAAAACUGACAUAAACCAAAAGGGAACUUAUUGGUUCAUGUAACUAAAAGCUCCAACUUCAGGCAUGGCUGGAUCCAGGUGCUCAAACACCAUCAAGCAUCGUCUGGCUCUCUCCACAUUUCAGCUCUGCUUUCCUCUGUGUUAGCUGCAUUCUCAACCUAGAGAUACUGAGAUAGCACCCAGUAGCUCCAGACUUAUAUCCUAUUGAUUCAACUAUCCACAGAGAGCAGCUCCAGCAAAAACCCAGGGAUUUGCUGUGAUUGGUCUGGACUGGGUCAUGCAUCCAUCCUCAAGCUAAUCACUGAGGCUUGGGUGAUAGACGAUAUAGAUUCACCAGGCCUGGAGCUGAGGGAUGAGAAUGAAUCCCAUAUGAAGCAUGUGGCCUGAGCAGGAAGAUGAGGAAAUUCAGCUGCUGUUACCAAAAGAAAGGACAGGAUAAAACUACAGAUGUCCCUCUGCGAGAUUUUAGCCCUGCCUCAGAGGAAACUACUGAUCAAGAGGCAUCCUCCUUCUGCUGGGGUUCCCUGAGCUGGUGACUUGGAAGCCAGGAGCUGCCGGAGGCCACCUGUGACACUGCAAAGGGACAAUCUGCCAAAGAGUGAAGCCAACACAGAGAAAAGCAGGGGAAAGAGGCAAGCAGUUUCCUAAAGACAUAUUUUGAGACCCCCGAAUCCAGCCACACUUGAAUAUAUUCCAGGUAAAUGAGCCAGUGUGAAUUUCCUUUCUGCUUAAACCAGUCUGACUCGGGUGCCUCUCACCCACAUCUGAAAGGCUCCAAGUCAAUACUGCCCCUCAUCACACUGAAUAACCAUCACUUGUUUCCUUGGCUGUUGUCCCAUUAGACCCAGGGCACUUGAGGGCAGGGCCUAGUUCAAAGCCAUCACGAUGUCUCAGUGCCUGAUUCCAACCAUCCUGG